rnacentral:rRNA from 1 species
UACGAAGGACCCGAGCGUUAUCCGGAUUUAUUGGGUUUAAAGGGUGCGUAGGCGUCCUGGAAAGUUACGGUUGAAAUCUCCUUGCUCAACAAGGAAACUGGCCGUAAAACUAUCAGGAUUGAGUACAUUUGAAGCGGGCGGAAUGUGUCAUGUAGCGGUGAAAUGCUUAGAUAUGACACAGAACACCAAUUGCGAGGGCAGCUCGCUAAACUGUAACUGACGCUGAGGCACGAAAGCGUGGGGAUCAAACAGG